rnacentral:rRNA from 1 species
UGCGCAGGCGGCCGUGUGUGUUAGGCGUGAAAGCCCGAGGCUCAACCUCGGAAUUGCACCUAAAACUACACGGCUAGAGUACUGGAGAGGGUAGCGGAAUUCACGGUGUAGCAGUGAAAUGCGUAGAUAUCGUGAGGAACACCAAUGGCGAAGGCAGCUACCUGGACAGUUACUGACGCUCAGGCACGAAAGCGUGGGGAGCAAAAG